AUUGAACGCUGGCGGCAGGCUUAACACAUGCAAGUCGAGCGGAGUGAUGGUGCUUGCACUACCACUUAGCGGCGGACGGGUGAGUAAUGCUUAGGAAUCUGCCAUUUAGUGGGGGACAACAUUCCGAAAGGAAUGCUAAUACCGCAUACGUUCUACGGGAGAAAGCAGGGGAUCUUCGGACCUUGCGCUAAAUGAUGAGCCUAAGUCGGAUUAGCUAGUUGGUGGGGUAAAGGCCUACCAGGGCGACGAUCUGUAGCGGGUCUGAGAGGAUGAUCCGCCACACUGGGACUGAGACACGGCCCAGACUCCUACGGGAGGCAGCAGUGGGGAAUAUUGGACAAUGGGCGAAAGCCUGAUCCAGCCAUGCCGCGUGUGUGAAGAAGGCCUUUUGGUUGUAAAGCACUUUAAGCGAGGAGGAGGCUACUAGUACUAAUACUACUGGAUAGUGGACGUUACUCGCAGAAUAAGCACCGGCUAACUCUGUGCCAGCCGCCGCAGUAA
rnacentral:rRNA from 1 species